GCUUAUGGCCAUACUACUCUGGGCACACCUGAGCUUAUCUGGAGUUGUAAGUUCAGCAGGGGAAGGCCUGGUUAGUACUUGGAGGUGAGACUACCUGGGAGUACCAGGUGUUGUAAAUU
rnacentral:rRNA from 1 species